rnacentral:rRNA from 1 species
AUUGAACGCUGGCGGCAGGCCUAACACAUGCAAGUCGAACGAGUGGCGGACGGGUGAGUAAUGUCUGGGAAACUGCCCGAUGGAGGGGGAUAACUACGGGAAACGGUAGCUAAUACCGCGUACCAUUGGAUGUGCCCAGAUGGGAUUAGGUAGUUGGUGGGGUAACGGCUCACCUAGGCGACGAUCCCUAGCUGGUCUGAGAGGAUGACCAGCCACACCGGAACUGAGACACGGUCCAGACUCCUACGGGAGGCAGCAGUGGGGAAUAUUGCACAAUGGGCGCAAGCCUGAUGCAGCCAUGCCGCGUGUAUGAAGAAGGCCUUCGGGUUGUAAAGUACUUUCAGUGGGGAGGCGUUAACCGCAGAAGAAGCACCGGCUAACUCCGUGCCAGCAGCCGCGGUAAUUC